AUUGAACGCUGGCGGCAGGCCUAACACAUGCAAGUCGAACGGUAGCACAGAGAGCUUGCUCUCGGGUGACGAGUGGCGGACGGGUGAGUAAUGUCUGGGAAACUGCCCGAUGGAGGGGGAUAACUACUGGAAACGGUAGCUAAUACCGCAUAACGUCGCAAGACCAACGUGGGGGACCUUCGGGCCUCACACCAUCGGAUGUGCCCAGAUGGGAUUAGCUAGUAGGUGGGGUAAUGGCUCACCUAGGCGACGAUCCCUAGCUGGUCUGAGAGGAUGACCAGCCACACUGGAACUGAGACACGGUCCAGACUCCUACGGGAGGCAGCAGUGGGGAAUAUUGCACAAUGAGCGCAAGCCUGAUGCAGCCAUGCCGCGUGUAUGAAGAAGGCCUUCGGGUUGUAAAGUACUUUCAGCGGGGAGGAAGGCGGUGAAGUUAAUAGCUUCACCGAUUGACGUUACCCGCAGAAGAAGCGCCGGCUAACUCCGUGCCAGCCGCCGCAGUAA
rnacentral:rRNA from 1 species